GAUGAACGCUGGCGGCGUGCUUAACACAUGCAAGUCGAACGGAAAGGCCCAAGCUUGCUUGGGUACUCGAGUGGCGAACGGGUGAGUAACACGUGGGUGAUCUGCCCCGCACUUCGGGAUAAGCCUUGGAAACUGGGUCUAAUACCGGAUAGGACCACUUCUUGGAGGUUGUGGUGGAAAGUUUUUUCGGUGUGGGAUGAGCUCGCGGCCUAUCAGCUUGUUGGUGGGGUAAUGGCCUACCAAGGCGUCGACGGGUAGCCGGCCUGAGAGGGUGUACGGCCACAUUGGGACUGAGAUACGGCCCAGACUCCUACGGGAGGCAGCAGUGGGGAAUAUUGCACAAUGGGCGCAAGCCUGAUGCAGCGACGCCGCGUGGGGGAUGACGGCCUUCGGGUUGUAAACUCCUUUCGCUAGGGACGAAGCGCAAGUGACGGUACCUAGAGAAGAAGCACCGGCUAACUACGUG
rnacentral:rRNA from 1 species